AAAUCCGUAUUACAGAGCCGCCUCUCUCCCGUGCGCGGUGGUGCGUUUACGGGCAGUCGGAGAAAUCAACGCCAACAAAAAAAAUUACAUCCAGCCUAGUUAAGACCAUACCAAAGACUAUAAAAAUGGGACCCAUUGCCUCCCUGCGUGUGUGACGAUCAUUGGGACUUAAAAAAAAAAAAAAAAAAAAAAAUUUAAAAAAAAAAUUAAAAAAUUUUUUUGUACCCAUGUAUAAUGCGCACCCCAGAUUUUAGGACAAUAAAUUAGUUAAAUUUUGCGCACUAUACACGGAAAAAAACGGUAAAUGAUUUUAUGCCAUGCAGUUCAUAUGAUUAAAAAAAACAUUCAAGUGGACAAUUAUUACUAAGACCUUUCUUAAUUCAGUAGCUUCCAAAUGACAUUGUUGAAUAGACAAUAUGUCACGCUCAUUUUGUCUCCUGCUAGUUUGACUGGAUUUGCACUUUUUUUCAGAUGUUCUAUUUGAAAAAUGCGUAAACAUUUUCUUUCUACAAUUAAUCAACAUGGAAAUGUUGCGGUACCAGACUCUUCCCCUCUUCACGCAGGUUAGUCAAGUUAAGCAAUGUUGGCCCUCGUAGACAGGUCACAAAUAAACGGCACAAUUUGAGAGCUGUGAUUACAAUUCAUUUUUUAACUUGUAAAGAGUUUGUCUUCGUAGCAGGACAAAGAAACACAGGAGUGGCUCUGGAGGUCUAAAACCUGUUUGGCAAUGACAAAACACCAUUGAUAGUUAAUUUUGGUGUUGGCCUUAAAUUACGCAAUUAAUUUUGUAAACCUAGAAAAUGUUGCGGAAACUCAUUUUAAGCGGUAUGUGACAUUUGGCAGCAGCCCCGGUACUUUCAACAGUGGCGCAAGACUUUCAAGUUUUUAAAAGGAUUGCUCGUCAUUGUAGUGUCGUGAUAAUGAAAGUUAUUAAAGCUUCAACUACAAAGAUCUAAACUGUGAGGACAUCCAGUUUCUACAGUCAUCGUCGCCCACAGAAGCCAAACUCGCAAGUCCAAAGAGAUGGCAUUUGCUCUUUACUCGUUGUUCCUCCUUUGUGGGAUCGGUGGGCUGUUGACCCAAUCUUUGAAUGAAUUCUGUAAUUUCGAAGCAUCUGUCCUAAUGGCUGGAUUCAGUUUGACUAGCGCUGUUACUCCUACCACGCUCGUGAAAGGACGUUUUUAGAUGCAGAGAGCUUCUGCAACGUUCUCGGUGGACAUCUGGUCUCCAUCCGCAGUUUCUUUGAAAAUGGUUUUGUUCUUCAUCUGCUUCCGAACGGUGGUAACGAUAACGUAGCCUGGAUUGGACUCCAUGAUAAAAUUUCGGAUGAGGACUACAUAUGGACUGAUGGCACCAUUGUGCGUUUCACUGCUUUUCGUCUACAACCUGAUGGAUUUUUUCAAUUGAGGGAUUUUGGGUGGAAGCACUUUGCACUGCGACGGCCCCUUUUGCUUCCAGCCAAGAUAUUAACUGUGGCUUCAAGCGUGAUGGCGGGAAUGGUUUCAGCCGUGGUUUAGGCCAUCGUGGCUCUGGUGGCCGGUGAUAAUCUGUCAAUUCACCAUACUGUCUUCUGUCGCAAUGUAUUUCCCUAAUCACGAUGAUGCAAUGCAAUGAUAAAAUAUCAAAUUCUA